rnacentral:rRNA from 1 species
GUAGUCCACGCCGUAAACUAUGAAUGCUAGCUGUUAUUCGUAUCGACCCGAGUAGUAGCGAAGCUAACGCGUUAAGCAUCCCGCCUGUGGAGUACGGUCGCAAGACUAAAACAUAAAGGAAUUGACGGGGACCCGCACAAGCGGUGGAGCGUGUUGUUUAAUUCGAUGGUAAGCGAAGAACCUUACCCAGACUUGACAUCCUCGGAAGCACUGCGAAAGCAGAGUGUGCCUCCGGGAACCAAGUGACAGGUGUUGCAUGGCCGUCGUCAGCUCGUGUCGUGAGAUGUUUGGUUAAGUCCAUCAACGAGCGCAACCCUUGUGGCUAGUUGAAUUUUUCUAGUCAGACUGCCCUGGUAACAGGGAGGAAGGAGGGGAUGAUGUCAGGUCAGUAUUACCCUUACGUCUGGGGCUACAAACACGCUACAAUGGCCGGUACAAAGGGCUGCCAAGUCGCGAGACGGAGCAAAUCCCAUCAAAACCGGUCCCAGUUCGGAUUGCAGGCUGAAACUCGCCUGCAUGAAGUCGGAAUCGCUAGUAACGGUAGGUCAGCACACUACCGUGAAUACGUUCCCGGGCCUUGUACACACCGCCCGUCAAACCAUGAAAGUCGCCAAUACCUGACGUCUUAGCUAGUCUAGGCCUAAGGUAGGGGAGAUGAUUGGGGUUAAGUCGUAACAAGGUAAC